rnacentral:rRNA from 1 species
GACGAACGCUGGCGGCGUGCUUAACACAUGCAAGUCGAACGGAAAGGCCCAGCUUUGGUGGGGUGCUCGAGUGGCGAACGGGUGAGUAACACGUGAGUAACCUGCCCUGGACUUUGGGAUAACUUCAGGAAACUGGGGCUAAUACCGGAUAGGAGCUCCUGCUGCAUGGUGGGGGUUGGAGAGUUUCGGCGGUUGGGGGUGGACUCGCGGCUUAUCAGCGUGUUGGUGGGGUAGUGGCUUACCAAGGCUUUGACGGGUAGCCGGCCUGAGAGGGUGACCGGCCACAUUGGGACUGAGAUACGGCCCAGACUCCUACGGGAGGCAGAAGUGGGGAAUAUUGCACAAUGGGCGGAAGCCUGAUGCAGCAACGCCGCGUGCGGGAUGAGGGCCUUCGGGUUGUAAACCGCUUUCGCCUGUGACGAAGCGUGAGUGACGGUAAUGGGUAAAGAAGCACCGGCUAACUACGUG